UGGUCCAUUUGCGCGCUCCUCAACCACAGCAAAGGAGCGCCGCGUCUCCUCUCUUCCCACCUCUAGCAGCACCUCCAUCAUUGCAAACAAAACGCCGUCUUUUGCGUUUACAAGCAUUGCAGGGCGCACACUCGCAGUCAGUGUGUGUGCGCACAGAAGCCCCCCCCCACGCAUCUUGUGGAUUUCUUUCCCGACCACUCCGCGUACAUGGUGCGCUGUGCUCCACCUCACCAGGAGUUCGUUUCACUUCUCAGAGAAAAAUGUGGCUGGCCGUAGUGACGACAGUUUUGUUGUGUUGGUGUGGAGUCUCCAAGGCUGGCUUUCCAAACCAAAUCAACAUUGGUGGACUCUUCAUGCGCUCCACAGUCCAGGAGCACAGCGCCUUCAGGUUUGCAGUGCAGCUGUACAACACCAACCAGAACGUGACGGAGAAACCCUUCCACCUCAACUACAAUGUUGACAACCUGGAGUCCUCCAACAGCUUCUCUGUCACACAUGCCUUCUGCUCUCAGUUCUCCCGAGGAGUCUAUGCCAUCUUCGGCUUCUAUGAUAGGAAGUCCAUGAACACGCUGACCUCCUUCUGCGGGGCGCUGCACACUUCCUUCAUCACGCCCAGCUUUCCCAUCGAUGCUGACGCGCAGUUUGUCAUCCAGAUGAGGCCCGGCUUGCGAGGUGCCGUUCUCAGCCUUCUGGACCAUUACAAGUGGGAGAAGUUUGUCUACCUUUACGACACUGAUCGAGGUUUUUCCAUCCUCCAGGCCAUCAUGGAGUCAGCAGUGGCUUACAACUGGCAGGUGACGGCUCGCUCUGUGGGGAACAUCGUGGACCCCACUGAGUACAAACGCAUCAUUGAGGAGAUGGACCGCCGGCAGGAGAAACGCUUCCUCAUCGACUGUGAGGUGGAUCGGAUUAACUCCAUACUGGAGCAGGUGGUGACCGCAGGAAAGAACACCAGAGGAUACCACUAUAUCCUUGCCAACCUGGGUUUUUCCAACAUGAGCUUGGACAGGGUCUUUUCCGGUGGCGCCAACAUCACAGGCUUCCAGAUCAUCAGCCCGGAGAGCGCCAUCGUGCAGCAGUUCCUUCAACGCUGGGAGCGUCUUGAUGAAAGAGAAUUCCCAGAAGCCAAAAACGCUCCACUAAAGUACACAUCGGCGCUGACCCACGACGCCAUUCUUGUCAUUGCUGAGGCCUUCCGCUACCUUCGGCGCCAGCGUGUGGACGUGUCCCGCAGGGGCAGUGCAGGCGACUGCCUCGCUAAUCCUGCUGUGCCCUGGAGUCAAGGCAUUGACAUUGAGAGAGCUCUCAAAAUGGUCCAAGUUCAAGGUAUGACAGGAAACAUCCAGUUUGACACAUUUGGUCGAAGGGCUAACUACACAAUCGAUGUGUAUGAAAUGAAGACGGGAGGUCCCAGGAAGAUCGGCUACUGGAAUGAAUAUGAAAAAUUUGUAUAUGUAAUGGAUCAGCAGGUCACCAACGAGUCGUCUUCUGUGGAAAACCGAACAAUUGUGGUCACUACUAUUAUGGAAGCGCCGUAUGUGAUGUACAAGAAAAACUAUAUGCAGCUGGAGGGGAAUGACAGAUAUGAAGGCUACUGUGUCGAUUUAGCUUCUGAAAUUGCCAAACAUGUGGGGAUAAAAUAUAAGCUGUCUGUAGUGCCGGAUGGCAAGUAUGGAGCCAGAGAUCCAGAGACCAAGACUUGGAACGGGAUGGUGGGUGAACUGGUUUAUGGGAGAGCUGACAUAGCCGUGGCUCCUCUCACUAUUACACUGGUACGAGAAGAAGUGAUCGACUUCUCAAAGCCCUUCAUGAGCUUGGGCAUCUCUAUUAUGAUCAAGAAGCCGCAAAAGUCCAAACCUGGUGUCUUUUCCUUCCUGGAUCCACUGGCCUAUGAGAUUUGGAUGUGUAUAGUGUUUGCCUAUAUUGGCGUGAGUGUGGUGCUCUUCCUAGUGAGCCGCUUCAGUCCUUACGAGUGGCAUCUGGAUGAGAACGAUGAGGCCAAAGACCCUCAGAGCCCCCCUGACCCGCCCAACGACUUUGGCAUAUUUAAUAGCCUCUGGUUCUCCCUGGGUGCCUUCAUGCAGCAAGGAUGCGAUAUCUCGCCAAGGUCGCUGUCAGGCCGCAUUGUUGGAGGAGUGUGGUGGUUCUUCACCCUCAUCAUCAUCUCCUCCUACACGGCCAACCUAGCUGCCUUCCUCACUGUGGAGAGGAUGGUUUCUCCCAUCGAAAGUGCCGAGGACUUGGCCAAGCAGACGGAGAUCGCCUAUGGGACGUUGGACUCAGGCUCGACCAAGGAGUUCUUUAGGCGCUCCAAAAUAGCGGUUUAUGAGAAAAUGUGGUCAUACAUGAAAUCAGCAGAGCCGUCGGUGUUUGCCAAGACAACACCUGACGGGGUCUCCCGGGUACGAAAGUCGAAGGGCAAGUUCGCCUUUCUCCUGGAGUCCACUAUGAAUGAGUACAUAGAGCAGCGGAAGCCGUGCGACACCAUGAAAGUGGGCGGCAACCUCGACUCUAAAGGCUACGGCGUGGCCACACCAAAAGGCUCGGCAUUAAGAAAUGCUGUUAACCUGGCAGUGUUAAAACUGAAUGAGCAAGGCCUCUUGGACAAAUUGAAAAACAAAUGGUGGUACGACAAGGGAGAGUGCGGCAGCGGGGGAGGUGACUCUAAGGUCAGCCUCAAUGUCACCAAAGUCGGGUGUCCUAAAGCAGAGUAAUCGGCAAGGCUGACGUCACUUCAAGUUAACAUUUAAGGAUAAAUGUUCCUAAUGGUAAUGUUCAUUUUUACAAAUAUAGUGCCACUGUGAUCAAAUGGAAACCCUUUACUAGCGCAGAGCGAGAGAGUUGGCGUGUGGCUAUGAAAGACAGGCAGCCUUUUUGCCCGUUCUUUUAUAACCACAUGCCAACACGACAGACGUUUUUGUAAUGUUUAAGCUUUUUCAACCUCCACCUUGGCAGCAUAUGCACGCUCCAGUGUGCUCAGGGAACAGCGUUGUCUUGAGGGGACGAAGCAUCACAGGCAAACGUGAGAAUUCUAAUGAGACAAAUGACAAAACAAACAUCUUCUCUCCGGCUGGUCUGGUUUUACUAAUAAGUGUCGCAAGUGGUUUAAGCCAUGCAGGACAUCACCAGGGGCCCCAUUUGCAACAUGUUCUUUGUUACAUAUACUGUGCAAAAGUCAUCCCCAGCUUUGUUGUUUCAGUGACCUUUUGUAGUAGUACGAACAGUAUACAGUCGUGCAAUCGUCCCUCGCCACAGCGCGGUUCAAACUGUGUGGCUUCACUCUAUCACGUUUUUUCAAACAUGUAUUAAUUAAUAAAUCAUGACUAGAUAGAAUCAUGAAUAGAACUCAAGCUACGGCCCCAUUUUGUUUUCCAGCCCGUACCUGCAAGCCUGUUGUGUUGAAAGCACAUUUCCAAAACAUACAUAUCCAGUCAUCCCUUGUUCCAGACCUCACCGUGAUAAGUGAAGUAGGAUUCAAUAUUAAUAAAUUAAAUAUUUUCCUAGUUGGCAUAGGAAACCUGUUUACGACCUUCUAAAUAAGUUUUUAACAUGAUUAGAGCCCUCUAGACAGGAAAUAACACACGUAACACCCACCUUUACAUUUGUAUGAUCCAAUAUAACAGAUAUAAUCAGAGAAAAUAAGACAUAUUAGACAUAAAUAACAAAAACAAAAAUACUCACACGUUAGCAGUUUCUUGUUUUUUUCUGGACAGCGUACUUCCUGCGGUGGCUGUUGUCUCGUCAGUGUAUUGUAAUGGCGGCUUUAAAUGGCUUUACACUUGUAUUACCCAAUAUAGUAGACAUAGUAAGAGUAAAUAAACCAUUUAAGACGUAAAUAAAACACCUGCUCGUGUGUGUAAAUGUAUGCCCUAGGGGACCUUAGUGGCAGGCGGACAGAUGUGUGAAGGACAGGAAAUGACAUCGGACGUUCUGAGUUGAGUUUUAGCUUGUCGUGGGUUAUGGCCCCAACGGUAGCCCGUGUUAUUAAUAUGAUUAUUAUUACUAUUAUGAUUAUUAUGAUUUUAUUAUUAUUAUUGUGCCUGCUGUGAGAUAAUUUAAAUCUGCAAUAAAUGCCUGUUGUAGCGAUCUGGUGCUUGUCUGAUCGAACAAUUACUGACACCUAGUGGCCAAUGUAGAAUACUACAUUCACAAUAAGAACGCUUCUUCUGCUUUGUAUUUGUGUUUUAGUUCAUUUAGUUUAAUACUUAAUUUAGGCCAAAAAUAAGUAUAAUUUUCUCAAAUAUGCAUUUUUUUUUUUACUAAUAAUAGACCAGGAAACACGAACCACGAUGUAGCAAGGGACGACUGUAUAGGCAAUCCUGGAAAAUCUUUUUAAAUUUUUUCAGUUUAUUGAAACUCAUCUUCCUCAAUAUCAGUAGCACUAAAACAGAUUCUGUCUUUAGGGGAUACAAAUUCAGCUUGUUAGCUGUUAAACAAAAAAUAAUUUCUCAGUGUCAUUCAACAUAAAUGAAAUGCAUUUAAACAAAUGCGCUAGCUCGAUGCUAAUUUACACUGAAAAUCCCAUUUAUUUCCAUUAGCAAUUAGCAUUCACAGUUGAACAUGGUGACUUCGAACACCUCCAAGUAUGACAAUUAAAUAGAUAACGAAGAUGCACAUUCCACUGAAACAGCUUAGACUUAUAAGCAUAAAAUACUUACAGGCAAACUCUUUCUAAGGCUCAACAAGACACAGGACUGACACAUUCGACAUCUUAAUGGCAGUAGACUAUUAACAAACACUGUCGGUCUUCUUCUAUGACAGCGGGUUUCAAAUUGUCGCCACCUGUUAGAGUAUCAAUAGAUACCUCGUGGAGAUCAAUAGAACCUUGCUGCACAAAAAAUCCCUUUCUGGAUAAAAACGCAAGAUUAAGACCCGUAACUCACUGAUGACAGAAAGUGAGUUGUGCCCCAGCAGUUGACAAUCACUGCUGGAAAUAUGCCGGAAAUAUGAUUUCCAUUUUUAAUUGCAAUCUGCCAAUUAUUUCACUAAAACCUGAUUUUUAAACAAAGAUGAAUUUUGUCUUUUUUCCAAAAACAGUUGUUGAAAAUCUUAAAUUCAGGGUCCUUUUAUAUUCGGGUCAAUACGGUAAUUUGCCUUUUGUGUGUUUUCAGAUUGUAUUUCACUAAGAAGACUUGGUCAGGAUAACAUUGCUAGAACAACAAGCCUGAGGAUAAGACUGCUGCACAGUGCUGUCUUUCUCUUCUGUGAUAUUUUUGUCCCCAUGCUCUUAUUGUGUGCAUGAUGUUGUUUACUUCACAAAUGAGGCCCCUGAUGUUAAGCACCGGGCACACGCCCGUCCCGCCGUGGAUCCAUCUCUGCCACUUUGCUACCGAUCUUCGAGCUUGCACCAUAUCAAUCUCACAUGCAGCAUUAUGUCGGAAAAGAGGAGGCCGCGCUUUACUUUGCUGUCUAUCGAUCCAUGUCAUUCUCUCCUCUCCUUUGCUCUCCUCUCUGAGUGAGCAGGAUAUGGAUACUCAUGAGGGGGUGAAUGCAAAGCGAGCCGACUCCUCUCGCCUGCUGUUUGCUUCAAUUCCUCGCUUGGAGAGAAAGUAGACGAGCACUGUGAGACUGCCACAUUUCUUUGUCCUUGUUUCACUUUCAGACAUGCACUGGUGGGUAAUCUUACAGCAAGGUGGAACUAUAUUGUGUACAACAACCACAGACGCUUUUACCGCGACAUAUAACAAAUCAUCAUACCAGCUAUUUAAACAGAUUAGAAUCUUUGCUUUGUAUAGGGAAGUAUAACAAGUACCGUAGUAUUUUAUGUGCGUAUUUGGGUUUCAGAGCCAGGAUUUCGUUUGCACUGUUCAUGUAUUGUGUUGCUCUGUGUCGCCUUUCAACAUUUCCAAGCGGAUGUUGCUGCCUUGCAGACAAACUGAAGGGUAAAGUUAUGAUGUCGGCGUCAUUGGGCUGCAACACAAGUACGAGUGGCGCUUGUGUGUGCGAUGGAACAAAUCCAAAACAACAACAAAAACCACGUCUGUCACACAUUAGGAAGAUAAAAAUAAGAAUCCAAUAUUUCUGCCACUGCAUUGUUGUCAAUUGUUCAGGCGCCAGUGAUGCUCAGCAAACACAUGCAGCCUUUUACACUAUUUGAUGAUUGAAGAUCGUGUCAACCAUGUGAUUACUUCAUUGCCACAUAGCUUCCUUUCGUACAAGUCAUCCGACUGGCAAAUGUUUGGUUUUGCAUGAGAGGAAAUUAAUUAAAAUCAGUUUUAAUUACAUUAAUGAUGACCCAAUAUUAAUAGUAAUAUUUACAAUAUACAUGUUAUAUAAUGUAUAUCAUAUAAAUAUAGUAUAUGAGUAUUUUCUUUUGAUCUGAAACACAAAGAAAAUAUUUAUCUUGGUUUUUGGAUGAAAAUGUAAAGGAAAUUUAAAGUAUGUAGUUACAUUAUUAAUACACUAAUAUUUACAAUAUAUACAUUGUGUGAAUAUUUUGUUUCUUUUUAUCUGAAACAAAGAAAACAUUUUCGUGUUGGUUUGCGGUAAAAGUGUAGAUGAGAGGACAUUAGAGAGGAAAUUAAAUAAAAUUAAAUUAAUUAUGACCCAAUAUUAAUACUGACCUUUAAAUAUAAAUAUUACAUAAUAUUUUAUAAAUGUAAUAGUUUUUUCUUUUUAUCUGGAACACAAAGAAAACAUUUGUGUUGCUUUCGAAUAAAAAUGUCAGAUGAAAGAAAAUUACAUUAAUUAUUAUUACCCAAUAUUAAUAUGAAUAUUUACAAUAUAAAUAUAUAUAUAUUAUAUGAUAUAUGUUAUGUGAAUAUAAUACAGUUUUCAUCUUUUUAUCUGAAACACAAAGAAGAUAUUUGUGUUGGUUUUCAGAUAAAAAUGUAGGUAAAAGGAAAUGAUAUAAUUAUAACAAAUUCAUUUUGAUUACACAAUAUUAUUACUAAUAUUUACAAUAUAAAAUAUAAUGUAUGUUAUGUGGCUAUAAUAGAGUUUUUAUCUUUUUAUCUGAAACACUAAAAAACAUGCACAGCAGAGGAGAGGAAAUGUGAUGAAUUAUUACCCAAUAAUAAAUACAAUUACUACCCAAACAUGUAUACUAACAUGUACAAGAUAAAUAUAAAUAUAUUUCUAAGUUCAUAAAUACACAGGACUUGAACAAAUAUUUUAGAAACAUAAGAGCGUUUUUGUCUUUUAAUCUGAGACACAAAGAAAACAUUUGUGUUUAACAUUUGUGAUCAAAUGUAGAUCAAAUGAAAUUAGAGAGAAAAUUUGAUGAAAAUGAUUACCCAAUAUUAAAACUAAUAUUUACAAUAUAAAUAUAUUAUAGAAGACUACCCAAUAUUAGACGAAUAUUAGACGUUAAACAAUGCAACGCAAAAACAACACUCACUUGGACAAACGACACGUGAUUGUGUAGACUUUGUACUGUAUAAUAACUAUGAGAUGAGUGGUGGAGAAGAGUGUGUUCAGACCUCAAGCCCAUCUGGCAACAUUACGUAUUUGAAAUCUGAAUAAUCCCAGGCCCGCUGUGGAUGACUUUAGAUUCAUCACAAUUCACUAUUUUCUACUUAAUUAUCAUCAGUGUGCUUCUCGGUGGCACCUUGUGCAAAGCAUCUUGAGAUUCAUCUUGCAAAACCUAAGACGUAGACUGACUGAGGCCCCAGCAUUCCUCCAGGAAUCCCAAGGAAGACGCCCUGCAGCGAGUGCAAACUACUUUUUGUUGGUCUAUUGUUCCGUCGUGGCAUUUUUUAGUACUUAAACUUCCCGAUAAGAGGACCAAUAUGUUAUUUAGAGCCAUCCUUCUUCAUUGAGUUGGUUUCCCAAAUGGGUGGUCACUGUGCGCUGUGCAUGCAUUCAUUGCGUUAACAUUUAGUUAAGGGGUUAAGGCAGGGGUCGGGAACCUUUUUUGCUAAGAGAGCCAAGAAAGCCACAUAUUUUUAAAUGUAUUUCCGUGAGAGCCAUACACAACUAACAACAACUGACAACACAACAAAAUGUGUGCAUUAUUAAGCAUGACCAACAAUUUUAGAGUAUAAUAAGUCUCUGAAUUUAUUAUUUUUAAUAAUGCCGUUAUAUUGAAGCUAACCAAUAAUAAAUACUGUAAGAUACUUCUUACCAUUAAUGUGACUUCUGUGCUUGCGGUAGAAAAUGGAUGGAUGGAUUAAAGUGCGUAAAGAAGUUUUAUAUUUUGAAUGUUAUUUUUAACACUGUGAUUUCCGUCAAAUAAAAUUACAACGAAAAAAUGUGAUUGUGUUAAAGCCAGAGAGCCAGAUGCAACCACCAGAAGAGCCACAUCUGGCUCCCGAGCCAUAGGUUCCCUACCCCUGGGUUAAGGUGUUCAUUUUGACACCUCAGUUUUUUAUCUCCGAUGGGUGCAAGCACAUAUUGAAACGUUUGUAAGGGUGCAGGUCACAAGAAAGUUGGGAUUAAUGGACAUAAAAUUCCCAUAGACACGUUCCAUAUUGUUUGAUGGCGCUAUCUGCAGGGGAAAAAGAGUGCUGCAGCUAUGAAUCUAGCAGAGGGCGCUGCCUCACAGGUCAAUUCACUCAAGAUUUUCCAGCAGGAAGAUGCUUCGACAAGACGUGAUGUUUGGUAACUCCACGUUUUGUAAAUACAGUACUGUAUGCUGUAUGCCUGUCUGUAAUUGUGAGAGGCGUGUUAUAGCGUACUUGGGACUGAUUAUUUUUAUUUUUUAUAUUACAUGUACUGCAGCAAGCCACAUAAGUCCAGUGUUGCACAUGUCCAAAUUUAAAAAUUCAAAGCCACCUCACCCGUCAAGAAUUAUUCCUUCAAAGUUGUGUUUACUUUGCUCAGUCCAAUUUUUUUUCUUUAGAGUUGAUAACACUAUAAUUGCUUCAAUGAAAACCUUCGUCUUCUACUGCUGCUUCCUUUUUGACGUGUACGCAUCGCUGUUGUCCGCUGCACAGUGCUGCAUAAAAAAGCACUUCUUUAGUGAGACUGAAAGGUUUACAUUAUUUGGGUGAUGUUUGGCGAACCAAAUGAAAUGCUUUGGAUGAGUUUAUUGAGAACGGCUGGUUUAGAGGAUUAAAAAUUGGUAUUUUAUGGGUGCAUUCAUUAUUUGUAGUUUUUCGCAAUUCGCUGGGAUCAUUGCAUAUUUUUAUUUAUAUUUUUAAUAUAAUAGAAAUACUGUAUAUAUAUUAUAUACCACGGAGUAUUAGGGCCGAAUUGUAAAAAAAAAAAAAAAAAAAAUUGGAGAUUUUGAGAAUAAAUUCGUAAAUUUCCGAGCCAAAAAAGUUCUCAAUUUACGAGAAAAACACUUGUAAAUUGACGAGAAUAAAGUUGUACAUUUACGAGAAAAAGGCCAAAGGUCACAUAAGUCCCCCCUUUUCAUAGCUGUCUCAGGCGACGCCUGUUACGAUGGAGUAUUAAAAUAAUGUGAGAUUUCGAGAACACAUUUACGACAAUAAAGUCGUACAUUUACGAGAAUGAACUCGUAAUAUUACGAGAGUAAAGUCGUACAUUUACGAGGAAAAACCCAUAACAGAACCUGUAACAGAAAAACCUGUAACAGAAACGUUACAGGCGUUGCCUGAGACAGCUAUGAAAAGGGGGGACUUAUGCAUUAUUACGACUUUUUUUUCUUGUAAAUUGACGACUUUUUUUGAAGGGCUAGACAUGCUCAUCUGUUUGUGCUCAGCUGCUCUGUUUCGCUGCCACGGUAGAAAUAAAAGAUUGCUAUUUUUUUCUCUGACACGAAUGACACGUAAAUUUACGACUUUAUUCUCGUAAGUUUCGGAUUUUUUCUCUUUUUUGUUUUUUCUCAAAAUUUAAGAUUUUUUUUUCAAUGUGGCCCCUAAUACUUCGUCGUAAUUAAAUAUAUAUGUAUAUAUAUAUAAAUAUAAUAUAUAAUAAUAUAAAUAUUUUUAUUGUAUAUGUUUAUAUAUACAUUAUAGCUAUUGUCAUUUUUUUAAAUGUGUUUUUGUCCUGUCCAGCCUUUAGGGCAGAUAGUAUUGUUGAUCUAAAUGCCCUCACAUGCUCAAGUGUGAGACACACUUCCCCUGUUAUACAGAAUUUAUUUGACUUUGAUGUUUUGUUGUUAUGCAAAUUUGGAGUGGCCGGACCGGAGCAGGAGGGGAUAGAGAAGAAGAGAAUAGAAAACAAGGAAGGAGUGCAGGAAUGAGAGGGGGACAAAAGAGACAGAGCCCUGUCUGAUUUCCAAAAUCAUCAUAACUUUACCUUUCAAAUUGCUCUGAAAAUCGUCCACUUGAUGUCAGGCAUGACAUGAUUGACGUGUGUGUGCGUGAGCGCAUGCGCGCGCGUGCGCACGGUGAAUACAAUAUAUUUGAUGCUGUCAGAUUACAAACCCUGCAACCUUUUCUGAAAUAAGGAAAUACGUCUGGGAAUGUGGCAGCCGAGGAAAUUGAGCUUGAUCGCAGAAGUCCCAUGAAAGAAACCAUCCUUUCAUCGGCACGCGCGCGCCAAAUCGCCUUUGGUUUUGUGAGACACGAGCUGACGAGAGCUGCGCGUUUGUUGUUCGUCAACAAAGGGUUCCUGUUCGAUCCCAGCCUGCGCACGGCAAUAAAGAGCUUUGGAAGUGCAUUUCAUUGUGAGGAAGUCAUGCAGCCGCUUCUUCAAAACUUGUGAUCAGCGUGUGCCGAUUGCUCAAAGCGAUACAGGUAGGGUCUGGCACGCUAGGGUACGUAUUGUAGGCUCAGGUCAUAGUCUAUACAUAUACAUAUACAUAUACAUAUACAUAUACAUAUACAUAUACAUAUACUGUAUCAUGUAUUUCUCUAUCUAGUCUUUGCUUGCUACCUGUAUGUCUUGGCCAGCACCCUACUUCCUAUCGCUUUGUAUCAAGUAGUUGAAAAGUCCAAUAACAUAAAAUAACAUAAUGCAAUGUUAUUUAUGUUAUUUCCCACGUGAAGAACUCCUGUAAACCUUGCAGUAUUGAAACUCAGUGAACAAGGCAUCUUAGACAAGCUGAAAAACAAAUGGUGGUACGAUAAAGGUGAAUGUGGAACCAAGGACUCGGGAAGUAAGGACAAGACAAGUGCACUAAGCCUGAGCAACGUGGCAGGGGUCU